UACGGGGGGAGCAAGCGUUGUUCGGAUUUACUGGGCGUAAAGGGCGCGUAGGCGGUCAGCACAAGUCAGUUGAUGAAUCGUCCGGGCUUAACUCGGAAAGUCAACUGAUACUGUGCGACUAGAGUGGCAAGAAGGGGCAACGAGGAAUUCGUCGGUGUAGCGGUGAAAUGCGUAGAUAUCGAGAGGAACACCGGUGGCGAAGGCGGCAUCCUGGACCGACACUGACGCUGAGGAGCGAAAGCCAGGGGAGCAAACGGG
rnacentral:rRNA from 1 species